AUGAACUUUUCUGCACAGGUUCAUCUAACAGAACACAUUGUUUAUAAAACCAGUAGAUUCAACUUUCUUUGUGCUCAUGUUGCUGUAUGGAAUGCCACAUCUAAUUUCUGCAAUAUAUGGCUUUUCUGGUCUAGAGUAUCAAUGAUGUUCAUAUGGCACAUUGCUGAUUUUGUGUCUGUAUAUGUAUAUGCUCCUUUUAAACUCCAACCAAAUGAUUUUAUCAUCUCUGAAUGUUCUCCUUUUUGGUUAUUUCCAUGUCUGGUUUUAGGUGGCACAUAUUUAAGAAUUGUUGUACUGGACCAGAUCAUGUUGCAUAAUGAGCUGUUGAUAAUGAGGUACUAG
rnacentral:rRNA from 1 species